GACGAACGCUGGCGGCGUGCUUAACACAUGCAAGUCGAACGAUGAAGCCGGAGCUUGCUCUGGUGAAUUAGUGGCGAACGGGUGAGUAACACGUGGGUAACCUGCCCAUAAGACUGGGGUAACUCCGGGAAACCGGGGCUAAUACCGGAUAACAUUUUGAACCGCAUGGUUCGAAAUUGAAAGGCGGCUUCGGCUGUCACUUAUGGAUGGACCCGCGUCGCAUUAGCUAGUUAGUGAGGUAACGGCUCACCAAGGCAACGAUGCGUAGCCGACCUGAGAGGGUGAUCGGCCACACUGGGACUGAGACACGGCCCAGACUCCUACGGGAGGCAGCAGUAGGGAAUCUUCCGCAAUGGACGAAAGUCUGACGGAGCAACGCCGCGUGAGUGAUGAAGGCUUUCGGGUCGUAAAACUCUAUUGUUAGGGAAGAACAAGUGCUAGUUGAAUAAGCUGGCACCUUGACGGUACCUAACCAGAAAGCCACGGCUAACUACGUGCCAGCAGCCGCAGUAA
rnacentral:rRNA from 1 species